rnacentral:lncRNA from 1 species
UAAUUUUAUACAGCUCGUCAGCUCCCAGUAACAUAUCGAAUAGUAAAUAUAUAUUUCUAAAAAGUUCAACUUUUCAUCUUUAUCUCUGUAAAAGUUCAGUGAUAUUCAUAUUCGUCUCUCUAGUUUGUUACCGGUUGAAGUUCUGUUUUUUUUUUUAACAGAAUACGAGUGAAAUGGCAUUUUUUACAUUAGAAAUAUAUUGCUUCAAAAGUUUCAAUUGCUAGAAUUAUAAAAAAUAUAUAUUCUUCCAAAAAUUUUCAAUAAUCAUUUUCUUUCUUUCUAGUAUCACAAAUAAUACAAGAAGAGUAAAAAGAUUAAUUUACUUUAAUCACUAAUCAGGGUUAAGUAUUUUGUUUAUAAUUAACCAUAUUUUUCUAACGGAGAUGCUUACAGCGGAAGUAUAUUUAAAAAAUAUUAGAAUUUUUGUAUGAAUGAAUAUAAAAAAAUUAAACUUUAUAAAAAUAUAUUUGUUAUUCGAUAUUGGGAGUUGUAUACAAUUAAU